rnacentral:rRNA from 1 species
UACGGGGGGGGCAAGCGUUGUUCGGAAUUACUGGGCGUAAAGGGCGCGUAGGCGGCUUUUCAAGUCGGGCGUGAAAUCUCCGGGCUUAACCCGGAAGGGUCGUUCGAUACUGUUGAGCUAGAGUGUGGAAGAGGCAACUAGAAUUCCGUGUGUAGCGGUGAAAUGCGUAGAUAUACGGAGGAAUACCUGAGGCGAAGGCGGGUUGCUGGGCCAGCACUGACGCUGAGGCGCGAAAGCCAGGGGAGCAAACGGG